rnacentral:miRNA from 1 species
UGAGAUGAAGCACUGUGACCC